AUCUCCCUACGGGAGGCAGCAGUGGGGAAUAUUGGGCAAUGGGCGCAAGCCCGACCCAGCAACGCCGCGUGAAGGAAGAAGGCUUUCGGGUUGUAAACUUCUUUUCUCAGGGACGAAGCAAGUGACGGUACCUGAGGAAUAAGCCACGGCUAACUACGUGCCAGCAGCCGCGGUAAUACGUAGGUGGCAAGCGUUAUCCGGAUUUACUGGGUGUAAAGGGCGUGUAGGCGGGAAAGCAAGUCAGAUGUGAAAACCAUGGGCUCAACCUGGGGCCUGCAUUUGAAACUGUUGUUCUUG
rnacentral:rRNA from 1 species